GACGAACGCUGGCGGCGUGCUUAACACAUGCAAGCCGAACGGUAAGGCCCUUCGGGGUACACGAGUGGCGAACGGGUGAGUAACACGUGGGUGAUCUGCCCUGCACUUCGGGAUAAGCCUGGGAAACUGGGUCUAAUACCGGAUAGGACCACUGCCUGCAUGGGUGGUGGUGGAAAGCUUUUGCGGUGUGGGAUGGGCCCGCGGCCUAUCAGCUUGUUGGUGGGGUGAUGGCCUACCAAGGCGACGACGGGUAGCCGGCCUGAGAGGGUGACCGGCCACACUGGGACGGGGAUACGGCCCAGACUCCUACGGGAGGCAGCAGUGGGGAAUAUUGCCCAAUGGGCGCAAGCCUGAUGCAGCGACGCCGCGUGAGGGAUGACGGCCUUCGGGUUGUAAACCUCUUUCAGCACCGACGAAGCGCAAGUGACGGUAGGUGCAGAAGAAGGACCGGCCAACUACGUGCCAGCCGCCGCAGUAA
rnacentral:rRNA from 1 species